GGUCUCCAGCGCGGCAUGGUGCCUCUGAGUCCCUGGUAGAGGGGACUGUACAGGUAUCUUGAAGCCGUCAUCACUGGUGCUGAAAGCAAACCUUUUGGAACCUGGAAACCAAUACCUUUUGGAACCUGGAAACCAGUGCUGAUCCACAUCCUGCUCCAAACCAUGGGGCUGUGAAGGAACCAUUUUCUAUAUUUCUGGUCUCUUCUGGAAGCUCCUAGGUAGCACCAAAGUCACAUCUUGGGACAGAUACACGCCGACAGUUGAGGGGUGGUGUAGACUGUGGAGCAGUGACAAAAGGACCAUCCUGACCAUGAGGAUACUUCAGCCCUGCCUCCCCUGCCUUUGUACAUACAUUCGUCCUCUUCAAAAAUGCUUUUAGAAAACACUAACUAUAUUGAAAAGCCCUUGGUACUUCUUGGUCAUAACCCACCAAUCUAUACAAUGAGUUGCGGAUAUCAAGUUGGAAAAGAAAAAAUGAUUGAAAACGGUACACUUUGAGGAACCAGAUAAGCAAAAGUAAACAAGUGCUGGUUGCUGGGGAGUGGUGAAUAUGAAUUUGCAUAGGGACCAAAGGACCUUCAGGAAACAAAUGGAUUGAAACAAGAACUCCUUCUGUUACGGGUUUCUAUAUUAUUAGAUAUUUGCUGAAUGAUUUCAAUGUAUGCAAAUAAAAUUCACUGAUAGGAAA